UCUCAUAGAUGUGUUAGGACUGCAUGGACACUCAGACCCAUUCCAACUCUAACAUUUUAUGCUUUUCCAAUAGAGAAGGGGAAAAGUACUUGGUGUAAGUGUAGAGGCAGAGAGAUUGAGAUCAAAGGGAAAGACUUUUGAGGAAGGAAGACAAACGUUGGGAACUGAAUAGCCUGUAGAGAGGAAAGAGUCAGAGGGAGGGUCCAAGCAAGGAUGUGGGGACACAGAGAGGAGGCUAGUCCAGCAGGCAGAGAGGGAGACAGAGACACGGGGGGAUUCCACCCAGGAGAAGCAGAGAUUUUCUGAGAGAGAAGAUUCCUGAGAGAGUCAAGAAAUAAUAAUUCCACCCAGGAGAAUCAGAGUUUUUCCGAGAGAGAAGAUUCCUUGGCAAGGGAAGAGCCAGAGAAGGAAGAGAACAGUGUCAAGGAAGCAGAUCUUUAUGACCACGGGAGAUUAAAUAAACCAAGCAAGGAUCAAAAAGAAAGGGACAAUAGGGAUUGCCUGGGGUAAGCAAGUGGUAAUCUAUGAUGGAGAGAGCAAAGCACUUGAGAUUAGAUAAUACCUCAGACCUUUUUAUGCAUGAAUUUGUUUCAGGAAGACAUUGAAGGUCUCUCAGGCUCAGCUUCCUCCUCUGUAAUAUCUGUGAGGGAUGCUUUGACGACCUUUAAGUUCCCUUCAAUGUUUACAAUCCAAAGAAUUGUGGAAAGGAGAAAGAAAUCCCCUUGGGGGAUUGAGAUGGGAGGACAAAUUGAGCAUUAAAUGAUCUUUGAGCAGGAGAGACACACAGAGAAUGGAUAUAAGGGGAGAGAAAAUGUUGGAAAGGGAGGAAAAGAAGGAAUCAUGUACAAAGUAAAUAAAAUAGAGAGGAAAAGCCCUACAGCAACACUGUUGACUGUCAGUUUGAAAGACAAGAGAGGGAGACAUCUAAAAGGAAGAAAAUAUGCUUUGCAAACACUGUGUCACUUGAUACCUAGGACAGCUCCAGGCAGCUGGAUAUGUCACCUCCAUUUUCUACUUAUGGCAAAAAUAUAUUGAGAUUGUGACUAGCCCAGGAUCACUCAGUAAGAAAUAUCCAAAGUUUAAUUUGAACUCGGGUCCGACAGACUCCAGGCCCAGCACUCUCCAAUGCACAGGCCAUGUCCCUGGAGCCUCGCUGAUUUGAGUGCAGAUCCUACUCUCCACUCUGCCUCUAUAACUCUAUGCAGAUCUCUGUCACUCUCCCAGUCUCAGCUUCCUUCCCUCCCAAAUGAUGAGAUUAUAUGUAGAAGCCUGUGAGGAUAUGUCCAGAACUCAAUCUGUGAUUGAAAAAGAAGUGUAACUUAGCAUUGGGCUAGAGGGAGAGAGCGUGAAAUAGAAACAAGGAGUGUAGGGAAGUCAGAGAAAUGGAGGGAGUAGAGUAGUGUGGAAAGAGGAGAGACAAAGGGAAAAGCAAGGGAUGGCAACGGAUUGCAGGGAGAGAGAACAAAAGGUAAAAGGAAGCAGAGAAGUCAGAGAAAAGGGGGAAGGGAGACAGGGAGAGAGCGAGAAAGAGAGAGAAACACAGAGACAGAGAAAAAAAAUAAUAUACAAAGAAAUCUUUAACUUGAAAGGAGCGGGAGAAUGAAGGAAGGCCAUUGUGGAGAGAGCUGAUAGACAUAUCUGAGAUCUUUUGAAAGGGAGACUGUGAAAGAUAAGUGUCAGCAGGCGAUACAAAGAGAUCUCAUUGCAAGUUUAGGAAGAUGGAAACAGAGAGACACUGAUGAAGAGGAAUUUUGGGAUUUUCAGACUCAAUUUUCUCCCUGAAGAAAAUUGUUGUAUUCCAUGGCCCUGAGGUCCUUUCCAGCUCUACAUCUGUAAUCCUAUGAGUAGAGAAAGGCAAAAACACUAUUUUAUCUAUGUUUUGUCUCUUGCAAUUAUAAAUCUAUGAUUUCAUGAGCGAUGCAAGAAGAUACUGAGGAAAAGACCAUUGUUUAAGGGAAAGAGGAAGAGACCAUUGAGGAGCGAGGAGAAAGGAGAAAGAAAGGAUUUACUAGGUCUCUGGGGAGAGACAAAGGGAAAAGGCCACUAAGGUAUAUGGCGGAAGAGUGUCAGUAACACAGUUGGGGUAGCGGGGGUAGAGAAAACGAUCUUUCACUGAAAAAGGAAGGGAAGAGAAAAGAGAAGGAGCCAUUCUGGAUGUGAGACGAGGGAAGAGGUGACUAAGAUGGAAUAGGGUGGAGGAGACAAAGGGAAUAAUGUACCAAACAUGGGAGGCAGAGAAAUCCGCCACUAGGGAGGAACAUCCUUAGGCAGAAAGGAAAUAGACUAUUGGUGAUAGAAAAUUUAUUAGGUGGUUGGACUCAAGAAAUUGCGUUGAUCCUGCAGGGGUCCUCAAACUAUGGCCCGCGGGUCAGAUGGGGCAGCUGAGGACAUUUAUCCCCUCCCCCAGGGCUAUUUAGUUUCUUUAUUUAAAGGCUCAAAAACCAAAGUUUUUCUUUUUACUAUAAUCUGGCCCUCCAACAGUCUGAGGGACAAUGAACAGGCCCCACAUUUAAAAAGUUUGAAAGUCCCUGGCCUAGGGGAAAGGGGAAGAGGGAUUUAGUGGAAAAGACAUCUUGGGAAAGGGGAGGGAAAGGGACCUCUGGGCAGCUGGAGGUUAAGGAGAAAGAGACAGAGUGAGAGACAAAAAGAGAUGGAAAAAGACAGAGACACACAAACCCACAGAGAGAGAAGUAUUAGGAAAGGACCAGACGGGAGAGAGGAUAGAAGCAGAUGGAAGAGAUCACUGGGAAAGGAAGGAGGGGAGACAAAAGGAGGAAAUAUGGGGAACAAAGGCAGGGAGAAUGGAGAUACAUUAAAGUAAGGGGAAGGAGUGAGAAAAUGAGAAAGGUCUAGUUUCCAUAGAAAAGUGAUAAAAUGGGGGGGAAAAGCGCUACAUAUUAAGAAGAGAAAAAGAGAGAAGAAAUCAUUGGAAAAGUUCCAUGGGUGGCAGGAAAAUAAAGGGAAUGCAGAGCAUGUGGAAGUAAGGAAAAAGGGGAAAAAAGGUUGAGAGACAUUGAGAAGGAAAAACAGUGUUGGGGAGGGAGGAGACAAUGUAAAGCAACAGAUUAUUGAUUAGAGAAAAGGAGAACGAAUGAAGGGAGAGACCAUAGUAUAAGAUGGGGGAAAGAAAAAGGGAAAGAACCACUGAUGAGGAAGAAGAGGGAGAGAGCCACUGGGAAAGGACCACUGGAAAAAGUGGAGAGGGGAGAUACAAAGGGAAGGAACCAUGGAGCAUAGAGAUGGAGGGAGAAGGAAGGUACCAUUAGGGAGGGGAGACUAAACUGAGAAACCCAGGUGACAGGAAGAAGUAGAGAGAAAGGGCCAAUGGGAAAAGAGGAGAGAGGAAAUAGAUAGGGAAGAUACCAUGGAUGAUAGGGAUGGAGGGCGAUGGAAAAUACCAUUAAGGAGGGCAGACAAAGCUGAGAAAUAAAUGGAAGGAAGCCCUGCAGAUGGGGGCAGAGUGACAAAGGGAAGAGAAUAGUGGGGUCUGGGAUGGAGAAAAGGAAAGAAACAGUGAAGAGAACAUUGUGAACCCCUGGGGGAAAUAUAAAGAAGAAAGCAGAGAGUGUCUGUGGGAAGAUGGUCAAGGGCUGAAGAGCAAAGGAAGAAAGCACUUGCUAAGGGGGGAGUGCCGGGAACAGGCCUGGGUCCUGUGCAGACUGUGCAGUGAGACAGGAGGGAUAAAGCGGCAGGGCCGAAAGAUGCUCUUAGGCAACGAGGGCUCACAGUGGAUUGGACGGUCAGGGAAAGGGAGGGGGAUUUUAAAUCUAUGCCUGACAGUCACGGGCUGGUGAUGGAAGGGUCCAAAUGGAGGGAGGAAUGGGAGAAAAUAAGAGACCAAUGAGGAGAGAGCUGGGGCCGGAGGGCGGGGCCGUGCUGGACAGAGCCAUGGGCUGGGGGUCAGGACAGGCUGAAGUGGAGGCUGCCUCACAAACUCAGAGAUGUGUGACCCUGCACAAGGCACUUAGCACUUGCUUUAGACCUCAGUUUCUUCUCUUAAAUGAUGAAUAUGAACCAAAGGUUUUUUACUUACGUUCACCCUUUAAAAUCCUGUUUUUGAAUGAGAAAUAAGAGGAAAGAUACAGUUACAGAGGAAAUUGCAUUAGACACAGAGACAAGCAGAAAGUAUGACUCGAGGGGUAGGGACCACAGAGACUUGGGACAGUUAUGUUGGAGGGUGAGGCAGCUGGUUCUCCCAGUGGGUGCUUGGGGUCAGGAGCACCCGAGUUCAAGUGUUAGGAACAAACUUCCUUGUUCCACGUCCAGGAGCAGGUCAUUUAAUGGACUAAGCUUCAGGUUUGUCAAUGUGAGGCUCAGUUCACUGUCACGUUCCUUCCUGCUGGAAACUUGUGAUGUAUCAGUGAUAGAAAGGGGGAAAAAGGUUCUGUGGCCUUGGUAAGGCCUAAGGUAAGGAGGGAGGUAAAGGACCCAGUGGGGGCUAGGAGGGAGCUCUUGCCAGAACACAUAGAAGGUUUUACAUGGGUCCAAUCACCCUGAUUUAGGAUCCUGCUUCUGAAAAUUAAGAGCUGUCAAAUUAAUUUUUUUCAGUUUGAAUUUCCUCUUCUAAAAAAGAUGGAAAUGUAGUUGGCCCCUCUGGGAUCUUCCAGGUGCACAAUCCUCUCAGUGAUAAUAGAGAAAGCAACAGGGAGGGGGAGUCCCUGGGAAGGGAAUGGGCAGGAAAGAGAGUUAGUGGGGAAGAGACCAAGCAAAAGUUCCACUCGGCCUGUAUGGUGGGAGACAGAGAAAGGUAAGGGUCCAACAACCAGAGUAAGGUAAGUAGAGGGAAAGUGCUCCAGCUCUGCUUGUAGCCUUACUGGCUGUUUGGGCCUCCGCAUGUCACAUAAACUCUGCAGCUCAGGUUCCUUUUCCCUCAAUAGAUGUGUUUGGACUGCAUGGACACUCAGACCCAUUCCAACUCUAAUAUUUUAUGCUUUUCCAAUAGAGAAGGGGAAAACUACUUGGUGUAAGUGUAGAGGCAGAGAGAUUGAGAUUAAAGGGAAAGACUUUUGAGGAAGGAAGACAAACGUUGGGAACUGAAUAGCCUGUAGAGAGGAAAGAGUCAGAGGGAGGGUCCAAGCAAGUAUGUGGGGACACAGAGAGGAGGCUAGUCCAGCAGGCAGAGAGGAAGACAGAGACAAGGGGGGGAUUCCACCCAGGAGAAGCCGAGAUUGUCAGAGAGAGAAGAUUCCUGAAAGAGUCAAGAAAUAAUAAUUCCACAUAGGAGAAUCAGAGUUUUUCCGAGAGAGAAGAUUCCUUGGCAAGGGAAGAGCCAGAGAGGGAAGAGAACAGUGUCAAGGAAGCAGAUCUUUAUGACCAUGGGGGACUAAGUAAACCAGGAAGGAUCAAAAAGAAAGGGACAAUAGGGAUUGCCUGGUAGGCAAGUGGCAAUUUAUGAUGGAGAGAGCAAAGCACUUGAGAUGAGAUCAAAUCUCAGAACUUUUCAUGCAUAAACUAACUUCAGGAGGACACUGAAGGUCCCUCAGGCUCAGCUUCCUCCUCUGCAAGAUAUUUGAGGGAUGCUCUGAUGAUUUUUAACAUCCCUUUCAUGUUUACAAUCCUAGGAAUUGUGGAAAGGAGGAAGAAAUCCCCUUGGGGGAUUGACAUGGAAGGAGAAAUUGAGCAUUAAAAUACCUUUGAGUAGAGGAAAGACAUAGGGAAUGGCCAGAGAGGGAGAAAAAGGGUUGGAAAGGAGAAAAGGAAGGGGCCAUUUUCAAUGGAGGUAAGACAGAGAUGAAAAUGCUACUGUGAAAUUGUUGACUGUGAUUUUGAAAGAUAAGGGAGGGAAGUUGAGGGAGAGAUCAAAAAGGAAGAAAAUAUGCUUUGCAAACACUGCGUCGUUUGAUACCUAGGACGGGCCCAUGCAGCUGCUUACAUGGUCCCUAUUUAAUAAUUAAGGCAAAAAGUACUUUGAGGUUGUGACUAACUUAGGAUCACUCAGUAAGAAAUAUCUAAAGUUUAAUUUGAACUCAGGUCUUGCUAACUCCAGGCCCAGCACUCUUUCCAAUGCCCCGGCCAUGUCCCUGGAGCCUUGCUGAUUUGAGUGCAGAUCCUACUCUCCACUCUGCCUCUAUAACUCUAUGCAGAUCUCUGUCACUCUCCCCAUCUCAGCUUCCUUCUCUCUCAAAUGAUGAGAUUAUAUGUAGAAGUCUAUGAGGACAUGUCCAAAACUCAAUCUGUGAUUGAAAAAAAUGUAACUUAGCAUUAGUAUAGAGGGAAGGAGCCUGAAAUAGAGGCAAGAAGAUUGUAGGGAAGUCAGAGUAAUGGAGGGAGUAGAGGAAAGAGGAGAGACAGAAAGGGAAAAGGAAGGGAUGGCAGUGGAUUUCAGGAAGAGAGAGACCAAAGGGUAGAAGGAGACAGAGAAAUGAGAGAAAAGGAGGGAAGAGGAACAGGGAAAGAGAGAGAGAUAGAGACAAAUACUGAAGUAGAGACAGAGAAAGAAAAAUAAUAUACAAAGAAUCUGUAAUUUGAAAGGGGAGGGAAAAUGAAGGAAGGCAGUUGUGGAGAGAGUUGAUAGAUAUAUCUGAAAUAAUUAGAAAGGGAGAUUGUGAAGGGAAAGUGACAGCAAGUGAUACAAAGAGAUCUCAUUACAAGUUUAGGAAGAUGCAAACAGAGAGUCACUGAUAGUAACUGAGAGUUCAUAUAUGUUCUGUCUCUUCUAAUUGUACAUGUAUGAUUUCAUGAGAGAUGGAAGAAGAUCGUGGAGAAAAGUCCACUGUUGGGGAAAGAGGAAGAGACCACUGGGAGGGAGGAGAAAUGAGCAAGAGUGGAUUUACUGGAUCUCUGGGGAGAGAGAAAGAGAAAAGGCCACCAAGAUAUAUGGCAGAAGAGUGUCACCAACACAGUUGGGGUAGUGAGGGAAGAGAAAACGCUGUUUGGGUGAAAAAGGAAGGAAAGAGAAAAGAGAAGGAGCCAUUUGGGAUGUGAGAGGAGGGAAGAAGUGAUUAAGAUCAGAUGUGGCAGAGGAGACAAAGGGAAUAAUGUACUAAAGAUGUGAGGGAGAGAAACCCCACAGUAGGGAGGAAUAUCUUUAGGCAGAAAGGAAAGAGACUAUUGGCCAAAGAGAAUGUAUCAUAUAUUGGAACUGAAGAAAAUGUGUAGGGCCUAGGAGCAAGAAGAAAGGUCCAGUGGAAAAGACAUCUUGGGAAAGGGACCUCUGGGCAGGUGGAGAUUAAGGACAAAAAGAAACAGAGAAACAGAAAGAGAAGUAUUAUAUUAGGAAAGGACGAGAAGGGAGACAGGAGAGAAGAGAAGCAGGUGGAAGAGAUCCCUGGGAAAGGAAGGAGGGGAGACAAAAGGAGGAAAUAUGGGCAACAAAGGCAGGGAGAAAGAAGAUACUACUAAGGUAAGGGGAAGAAGGAGUGAGAAAAUGAGAAGGGCCCAGUUGGCAAAGAAAAGGGAUAAAAUGAAAAGAAGCGCUACGUAUUAAGAAGAGAAAAAGAGGGAAGAAAUCAUUUGACAAGUUAUGGGGGUGGCAGGAAAAGAAAGGGAACUUAGAGGAUGUGCUAGUAAGUAAAAAAGCAAAGAAAAAAAAAAGAUUGAGGGAAAUUGAUAAGGAGAAACAGUGUUGGGGAGGGAGGAGACAAUGUAAAGCAAGAGAUCAUUGAUUAAAGGAGAAAGAAUGGAGGGAGAGACCAUAGUAUAAGAAGUGGGGAAAGAAAAAGGGAAAGAACCAUUGAUGAGGAAGAAGAGGGAGAGAGCCACUGGGAAAGGACCACUGGAAAAAGUGGAGAGGGGAGAUACAAAGGGAAGGAACCAUAAAGCACAGAGAUGGAGGGAGAAGGAAGGUACCAUUAGGAAGGGGAGACUAAACUGAGAAACUCAGGUGACAGGAAGAAGUAGAGAGAAAGGGCCAAUGGGAAAAGAGGAGAGAGGAAAUAGAUAGGGAAGAUACCACUGAUGAUGGGGAUGGAGGGAGAAGGAAGGUACCAUUGGGGAGGGGAGACUAAACUGAGAAAUCCAGGUGACAGGAAGAAGUUGAGAGAAAGGGCCAAUGGGAAAAGAGGAGAGAGGAAAUAGACAGAGAAGAUACCACUGAUGAUGGGGAUGGAGGGAGAUGGAAGGUACCAUUAGGGAGGGAAACUAAUCCCGAGAAAUAAUGAAAGGAAGCACAGGAGGUGGGGGCACAUUGAUGAAGGGAAGAGAAUCGUGGGAUUUGAGAUGGAGAAAAGGAAAGAAACAGUGAAGAGAACAUUGUGAAUACCUGGGAGAAAUACAGAAAAGAAAGCAGAGAGUGUCUGUGGGAGGACAGCCAAUGGCUGCAGAGCAAAAGAAGAAAGUACUUGCUAAGGGGGGAGUGCUGGGGACAAGUCUGGGUCCUGUGCAGACUGUGCAGUGAGACAGGAGGGAUAAAGCAGCAGAGCCUGAGGAUGCUCUGAGGCAACAAGGGCUCACAGUGGAUUGGACGGUCAGGGAAAGGGAGGGGGAUUUUAAAUCUAUACCUGACAGUCACAGGCUGGUGAUGGAAGGGUCCAAGUGGAGGGAGGAAUGAGAGAGAAAUAAUCAGACCAAUUAGGAGAGAGCUGGAGCUGGAGGGAGGGACAGAGCCAUGGGCUGGGGGUCAGGACAGGCUGCCUCACAAACUCAGAGAUGUGUGACCCUGCAGAAGGUACUUGGCACCUGCUUUAAACCAUAGUCUCUUCUCCCUUAAAAAGAUGCUCUGGAUCUUAAAGGCUUUUAAUGCUGUGCUUUUAUGAGAAAUGAGGAAAGUCCGAGGAUUGGGGGUAAGGAGAGAAAAGCAGUUAGUAAGCAGACUCCAUUAAAGAGACAGACAAAAGCACAGAAAGAGCGACAAAGGUAGAGACAUCAAAAAGGACCACAGAGAACUGGGAGAGUGAUGGUGGGGAGGGGUGAGGCAGCUGGUUCUCCUAAUGGGUAAACACGGGGCUUGGAGGCAGGAGCACCUGAAUUCCAGGGUUGACUUAUAAGCUUCCUUGCUCCCUCCCUCUCCCUCUCUCCUUCAACAGAUCCAUGAACACAAGAUACUGGAAUAAGAUCAGGAGGAGGAAGAAGGGGAGAGACACAGUGACAGACACUGACAAUAAGAGGACACUUAGCCAGUUACAAACACAUUGGAUAGGGCUUAGAGUCAGCUGGAGGAGAUCACAAGUGAUGCUGAGGGACAUUAUGGAAAAAGAAUUGUUAUUAUAGGGAGAGGUAGUAGAUGACACAGUAGGAUGAACCAUCAUUGUCCUCCUUUUUUUCUGAGGCAACAGAGGUAAAGUGACUUGUCCAGAGUCACAUAGCUGAGAAGUGUUAAAUGUUUGAAGCUGGAUUUGACCUCAGCUCCUUCUGAAUUCAGGCUCUGUGUGCUAUGUACUGAGCCAUCUAGCUGCCCCUCGCCCUUUAUUCUCAUUCAUUUCCAGCUGAGUUCACAACUUAGCUAGACAACUUCUAGGUGAGCCAGUCACCUAACCUCCUUCAGGCCUCUGAGCCAGGUGUGCUGGGAUGUGGCCUCCAAGGGUUCAUUCCCCUUGAGGUUUGUGAUUGGAGGAGGAAGAGUGAUGGAUCCCCACAGGCAGGAUGGAUCAGGACAGAACAGCCAGUGGGAAGAGGCCACUGAGUGAGGAGACAGACAAGGAGAAAGUGCACCAGGUGUGGGUAGAGAAACACAGCAGACUCACGUGGGGAAGAGAAUAAGUGAAGCUGAAUAUAAAUAACAGAAUUUCUAUUAGUGGCUGUUUGGCCCUGGACAAAUUUUUAACUGUCACCACUUCCUCGGCUACAAUGAGUCCUCUGGGACUAGAAUGGCCGCUCAGUCAGCUUCCAGCUCUCUCAGAUUCUGGACUUGGACAGGAGAGAAGGAAAAAUUACCUGCCAUGGGGGCAGAGACAGAGGAUAGAGAUUCAGGGAAAGGGCUUCUUGCAGCAAGAGACAAGCAGCUAACUCAGUACCAUGGACAGAGCACAGGGAGAGUCAAAGGAAGGGGCCGAGUGAGCCUGUGGGCAGAGAGAGCGGAGGCUACUCCAGUACAGAGAGUCAGAGACAGACACAGGUGGAGACAGGGAGACUCUGAGAGAGAGAAGACUUCUUGGUAAUGGGGAGCUAGACAGGGAAGAGACCAAUGGGCGGGAAUGUGAGGGGCAGAAGUCCAGACAACAGGGAGGGAUUAGAAAGGUCAUUAGAGAGGAAGGGACACCUGGGGAAGGGCUGUGGGGAGGCCACUGGCUACUAAAGAUGCAGAGAACACUGUACUGAACUGCAGUUAAUCCAGCCUGAGACAUCUUCAAGCUGAAUCAGCCUCAGCAAGUCCCUGAAGGUCUCUCAGUCUCUGUUUUCCCCUCUAUGAGAUGUUGCAGGGUUGCAUUUGGGGGCCUCUAAGGUCCCUUGGAAGUGCAAGGAAAGAUGGAAAGGGCCAAUAGAGGCCUUAGUAAUUGAACUGGAAGGAAAAAGAGAGAGAUUUAGCAAAUCAUUGAAGAGGGGAGAAGUACAAAAGGAAUAGAGAGAGAGGGAGAAAAAGUGCUGGAGAGGGAGGGGGAGAAGGAAUGAUUUGACAGUGUAGAUGAGAUAGAGAGAAAGUGCUACUACAGAAUUGUUGAAAGAGGUUUUGAUUCACAAGGGAGUAGAGUAGAGGCAGAGAUCCCAAAAGAAGAAGGGACUGGGGAAGGGGAAAGAAGGAAAUCAUUUGUUAAAGUAGUUACCUUGUGUCAGACAUUGUGCUAAGUGCUUUAUAAAAAUGGCCACAUUUGCUCUCCUCAUCAGCCCUCUGAAGUUGAUAUGACCAAUAUAUUCACUUUGUUGUUUAGAAAACUGAGUCACAGAGAGGUUCUCAUCUGCUCAGGGUCACACAGCUUGUAAAUGUCUAUGGCUGGAUCUGGAGCCAGGUCUUCCUGAGUUCCGACCCAGCAUUCUGUCUGCUGCACAAGCAGUGUCCCUGGAGCCUGGUUGGCCUGAGUCCAGAUAUUACCUCCAAAGCUAUUCUAUAACUCUGUGUGUGACAUUUCUACUCUCUCAGAUCUGGCUCCUUCCUCUCUAAAAUAAUAACACUGGACUCCAGAACCUCUGAGAAUUCUGCUGGACUAGUCUCCUCUCUGUGUCCCCAUAUCCUUGCUUGACCCCUUCCACUGCCUCUUCUGGGAGUGGAGGAGAAAGAAGAAACAUACAAAUUGGUAUUUGGAUGGAGGCAGACAGUGAAAUACAGCCUAGUGCCUGAGAAACAGAAUCAACUAGUGAGUAAAGAGUCAAUAGAGAAAGUGAAAAGCAGAGCCAGACCAAAGGACAGAAAAACAGAGAAGUGAGAGAGACAGGGGGAAGAUGAGAAGAGACAGAAAAUAUAAAUAGUCUUCUGUAAUUGGCAAGGGGAGGGAAAUGAAGAAAGGCCAUUGGGGAGAGAGAUGAAGACAAAAGCCUAAGACCAGAUGAAAGAGAUGAAAUGGGGAGACACAUAGAAAAAAAGUAACUGGGGAUGAGCCAUACUGGGAAAGCCAGCUAGAUGUCACAACAGACAGAUCUUUGUGCUUGAAUUUAGGUCAGCAUGAGUUUAGCUCUGGACUCAGACACUUUCUCUGUGGGUCUGGGUAGUCACUUAAUGUCUGAUCCUCAGUUUCCACCACUGCCAUGACAAGUUGUAUUUCAUCAACAGUAAUUCCCUUUCUACCAUAAAGCUAUGAUCUUAUGAGUGAUGGAAGGAGAUAGGAAAAGACUAUUGGUUAGGGAAAAGAAAAGGAGAUUUUUUUGGAAAAAGCAAGAAUAAAGGAGGAGUAAAGGAGGAGGAAGGUCCUUAGGCAGAGAUGAAGAGAAAAUAAUAAUAUGAAAUAUAGAUAAAGGCUGUGACCAGAGAAGUUAGGGUGGAGUAUGGAAGAAAAAGAAUAACUGGGGAAGGAAGAGAGAAAGUGAGGAAGGGACCAUUUUAGGUGAGAGGAGGAAACAGUGGAAAGAAAUAAUUAGCAUGGCAUGGGGGUACAGAAAGACAAAUGUGAGAGUUCCAUAAACAUGGGGAGAAAGGAACAAAGUAAAUCCGGGACUAGAGAAGGAGAAGAGGGAGGAAAUAAAUGGGGGGAUGCUGGGCAAUAGUCUUGGAAACAGAAACCAAGAAGCAGUUCUGCAGGGCCUAGGAGAAAGGAGAUGAAGAAACAAAUGAAAAUAUCACUUGAGAAAAGGCUGGGAAGGGUCCUUGAGUGAUCUGCUAGAGAUAAAGAGAAGGAACAAGAGGUAGAAAGAAAAUAAAAAGGGAAGGAGAGACGAUAGAUAUAGGCAGAGAGACAGAAAAACACAGAGAAAGACAGAGAGAUAGUAAGGGAAUGUACCACUAGGAAGAGAAGAGAGAACAAAAUGGAUCAUUGAGAAAGAAAAGGGGAACAAAAGGAAUUGAGUACAGGAAUAAGAGAAGGGAGCAGGCAGAUACCACAGUAGAAUGGAUGUGAGACUAUGAGGAGGGACUGCUAUGGAUAAAGGGAGGGGAACAAAAAUAUUAAUGUUGGGUAUUAAAAGAGGGGAAAAGAAACAAGAGACACUUGGGAAAGGGAAUGAGACAAAAGGAAGAGAUCACAGGGGAUGGGGGGAAAGGACAAUUGCACUCAAAAAUGAAAAGAAUUAACUGUGAUGGGGAGUAAAGAGACAGUUUAAGUUUCCUGGUUACAGGAAAGAGAGAGAAAGAAGGCAGGACCUGGGAAAGGGAUACAGAAGAGGUCAUAAGAAGUGGCAGGGACUGGAUAAGGAGGAUACUAUUAGGGAGGAUGGCAUGGGGAGAAAUAGAGAAAAAACCACGUGGUAAGAAAAAGACAAGAGAAAGAAAGAAGGAAAAGACAAUUGAAAAUAGAACUGGAGAGAGAAAGGGGGAACAGAUCAUGGAGGACAGUUAUGGGGGAAGAAAGGAAUUACCAUUAGGGAGGAGAGAAAAAGUUGAGAAAAAAGGAACCGACCAUGGGAGUGACAAAAGGAAAGGAAAACUGGGAUGGAGGACAGGGAGAAAACAGGGGAAGAGGACAUUAUGAAUAUCUGGGGUAAUUCAGAGAAGAAAGGAGAAUAUAUUUGUGGGUGGAAGAGUAAAGGAAAAUAACAUUUGCUAAUGGAGGAAUGCUAGGAACAGGCCCGGGCCCUGUGCUGACUGUCCACUCUAACAGGAGAGAAGAGCAGGAGGGAUAAAGCAGCAGGGCCUGAGGAUGGUCAGGAGGCGGCAAGGGCUCAGAGUAGAUCGGGCUAUCAGGGAAAGGAAUGGGAAUUUCAAAUCUAUGCCUGACACACACAGGCUGGUGAUGCAAGGGCCCAAGAGGGGGGAAGAAAGGGAGAAAACAAGCAUGAGGCCAUUGUGGAGGGGGGUGGGGGCAAAGGAACAUGGUGGCAAAGGGGCAGGGAGGGGUCAUUCUGACCAGGGAUCAGGGCAGGUUAAUGUAGAGCCUGCCUCACAAACUUAGAGAUGUAUGACCCUGAGCAAGGCAUUUAUCAUCUACUUUAAACCCCAGCUUAUUCUCUUAAAUGAUGAUCUUGAAGCCAAAGAUUUUUUUACUUAACUUUACCCUUGAAAAUCCUAUUGUUGAAUGAGAAAGAAGAGGAAAACCUCAGAGAGAAAGAUACAGUUACAAAGGAAAUUGGCUCAGAGAAAAAGAGACAGAGACAGAGACAAGCAGAAAGUAAGACUCGAGGGAUAGGGAUCACAGAGACUUGGGAGAGUGAUGUUGGAGGGUGAGGCAGCUGGUUCUCCCAGUGGGUGCUUGGGGUCAGGAGCACCCGAGUUCAAGUGUUAGGAACAAACAGCCUUGUUCCACGUCCAGGAGCAGGUCAGGUUAAUGGACUAAGCUUCAGGUUUGUCAAUGUGAGACUCAGUUCACUGUUAAGUUCCCUUCCAGCUGGAAACCUCUAAUCUGUGUAGCAGAAAGGGGGAAAAAGGUUCUAUGGCCUUGCUCCAGUGCCUCCAAAGCAGAGUGUAAAAGCUGCCAAAGUGUCCUGGGGAAUGGAGACAGGAAGAAGGAAAAGACCAAGCUCCACUGAGUACAAAGGAGAGGGGACAAAGGAAAGAGGAAUUGUUCAUCAAUGGUGUCUAGGAAUACUGUGAGUUCUACAUCUCCAAUAACACUGGAAUCCAUGAGAAAAGGAGAAUACUACACAGAGUGAGAAUCAGUUUUCCCAGCUUGAAUUUCUACCUCUAAAAGUGAUGGAGAUGGAGUUGGUCACUUAGGGACCCUUCCCAUUGGACGAUUCUAUCAUUGAGGGAGAGAGAACGGCAAUUCCCAUGGGAGUGAAGGUCAGGAAGGAGAGUUCGUGGGAAAGAGAACCAGAGAAAGGCCCACGAGGCAUCGAUCAUGGGAGCGACAAAAAGUCAUCCUCCUACCAACCAGAACACAGAAUUGGUCGUCAAUGGUGUCUAAGAAUACUGUGAGUUCUACAUCUCCAAUAACACUGGAAUCUAUGAGAAAAGGAGAAUACUACACAGAGUGAGAAUCAGUUUUCCCAGCUUGAAUUUCUACCUCUAAAAGUGAUGGAGAUGGAGUUGGUCACUUAGGGACCCUUCCCAUUGGACGAUUCUAUCAUUGAGGGAGAGAGAACGGCAAUUCCCAUGGGAGUGAAGGUCAGGAAGGAGAGUUCGUGGGAAAGAGAACCAGAGAAAGGCCCACGAGGCAUCGAUCAUGGGAGCGACACAAAGUCAUCCUCCUACCAACCAGAACACAAGGAGGUUGAACCCAGUGGCCCUGAAGAUGUCAGAUAACUGCACAUAUGCAGAAGAAAGACAGAGGGAGAGGGAGAGAGAGAGAAAUGAAAGAGAAGCAAUAUAUUUACAAUGAAGAGGAAGACAAAAAACAGCUUGACAAGAGGCAGCAAAUAUAUGUGUGAGGGAGAGAGAAUCGUGGAAUAUGUUUAGACACAAAAUUUGGAUCCCACAAACGAUGAGACAAAGAAAAAGGAUAAAGCGAUAAUGGAAUUGGUCAUCAAUGGUGUCUAAGAAUGCUGUGAGUUCUACAUCUCCAAUAACACUGGAAUCCAUGAGAAAAGGAGAAUACUACACAGAGUGAGAAUCAGAUCCAGCAUCUUCCCCUCUAAAAUGGUAAAUUUGGACUCCAGAACCUCUGAGGAUUCAUCCAAGAUCAUAUCGGAGCUUCUGGGAUUUAAGGAGAAAGAAGACUCAUACCACAGAUCCAGGUUCUUCAGCUCUAAAAUAAUAACACUGGGCUCCAGAACCUCUGAGAAUUCAUCCAAGAUCAUAUCGGAGCUUCUGGGAUUUAAGGAGAAAGAAGACUCAUACCACAGUUGGAUGGACAGUGAUGAAGAGAGGCAACAACAAAGGGAAAGCCCAUAGAAGAGAAUGGGCAGCAAAGAGAAUUAGUGGGGAAGAGAACCAGCAAAAAGCCCACUAGGCAAGGAUAGUGGGAGAGAGAGAAAGUUAAGUCUCCAACAACCAGAGUAUGGAAUUGGUCAUCAAUGGUGUCUAAGAAUACUGUGACUUCUACAUCUCCAAUAACACUGGAAUCCAUGAGAAAAGGAGAAUACUACACAGAGUGAGAAUCAGUUUUCCCAGCUUGAAUUUCUACCUCUAAAAGUGAUGGAGAUGGAGUUGGUCACUUAGGGACCCUUCCCAUUGGACGAUUCUAUCAUUGAGGGAGAGAGAACGGCAAUUCCCAUGGGAGUGAAGGUCAGGAAGGAGAGUUCAUGGGAAAGAGAACCAGAGAAAGGCCCACGAGGCAUCGAUCAUGGGAGCGACACAAAGUCAUCCUCCUACCAACCAGAACACAGAAUUGGUCAUCAAUGGUGUCUAAGAAUACUGUGACUUCUACAUCUCCAAUAACACUGGAAUCCAUGAGAAAAGGAGAAUACUACACAGAGUGAGAAUCAGAUGGAGAUGGAGUUCAUCAUUCUGGGGACAUUCCACUUCGAUGAUCCCUAGGGAGUGAUGAAGAGCGAGGGGAUGGCACAUGGAAAUGAAUGAGCAGCAAAGAGAGAGAGUGGAGAAGAGAACCAGCAAAAGGCCCACCAGGCAAGGAUAGUGGGAGAGAGAGAAAGUAAGUCUCCAACAACCAGAGUAUGGUAAGUAGAGGGAAAGUGAUGUGCAUUCAACCAACCUCUUUUAAACGUACUGGCUAUGUGGCCCUCAGCACAUCAUAUAAACUUUCCUGUUGUUUCAUUUUCUUUCAAAAAAGGCCUUUGUACUGAUGACCUUUCAGACCCAUUUCACCUCUCAAAGAGUCUAUGCUUUUCCAAAAGAGUAGGGAAAACUACUUAGGAAUAGAGACAGAGAAAUGAGAUUGAGAGAAAAGGUUUUUCAGGAAGGGAGAAAAAUUCAGGGAAUAUCCCCUGGACAGCAGAAAGACAAGUAAGUGGCAGGAAGACAAAGGAAAUGUAGAGGAUGGUGUAGUAAGGAAAUAAGCAAAGAAAAGAAAAAGGAGAGAAAAAAUGAAAAGGAUAAACAAUGUGGGGAGGGAGGAGGCAGUGUAAAGGAACAGAUCAUUAAUUAAGGAAAAGAGGGAGAAAGAAUGAAGGAAGUGAACAUUGGGAAUGGGAUCUGGGGAAAGAAAAAAGGGAAUAAUCACUGAUUAGGAAGAAGAGGUAAAGAGCAAUGGGGAAAGGAAUACUGGAAAAAGUGGAGAGGGGAGAUUACAAGGGGAGAAACCACGGAGCAUGGAGACGGAGGAAGUAAGAAGGUACCAUUAGGCAGGGGAGACAAAGCUGACAAGCUUUGGUAACAAGCCCUGGUGACAAGAAGAAGUAGAAAGGACCAAUGGAAACAGAGAGGAGAGGAGAUAGAAAGGGAAGGGAAGAUACCAUGGAUGAUGGGGAUGGAGGGAGAUGGAAGGUACCAUUAAGGAGGGGAGACAAAGCUGAGAAAGAAAUGGAAGGAAGUCCUAGAGAUGGGGGCAAAGUGACAAAGGGAACAGAAUAUUAGGAUCUGGGAAGGAGAAAAGGGAAAAAGCAAGUGAAGAGAACAUUGUGAAUAGCUGGGGAAAAUAGAAGAAAGCAGAGAGUGUCUGUGGGAGGACAGCCAAGGGCUACAGUGUAAAGGAAGAAAGCACUUGCUAAGUGGGGAGUGCUGGGGACAGGCCUAGGCCCUGUGCAGACUGUGCAGUGAGGCACGAGAGAAGAGUAGGAGGGAUAAAGCAGCAGGGCCCGAGGAUGCUCUGAAGCAACAAGGGCUCGCAGUGGACCAGACUGUCAGGGACAGGGAUGGGAAUUCCAAAUCUAUGCCUGACAGUCACUAGAUGGUGAAAGAAGGGCCAAGGUAGAGAGAAGAAAUGGAGAAAACAAGUAUGAAAUCAUUGUGGAAGGGGUCAGAGGCCAAAAAGGCAGACAGAGGUCAUUCUGGUCAGAGCCAUGUGCUUGGAGUCAGGAUGGCCUGAAAUGCUCACAUUUCACAAGGCUGCCUCACAAACCUAGAGCUGUGUGAUGCUGGACAACAUAUUUAGCACCUGUUUUAAACCUUAAUUUCUUUACAUUUUAAAUUAUGGUCUUGAACUUAAAGGCUAUUAUAAAAUACUUUCUAGCUCAAAAAUCUCGUCAUUUUAUGAGAAAAAAGAAGAAAUCCUGAGGAAAGCCUAUAGUUAGUAGGACAACAGAGAGAGAAACACAUACAGAAAGAGAAACAAAAAAGGGUUCACAGACAACUGGGAGAGUGAUGGUAGUGGGUGAAGCAGCUGGUUCUCCUAAUGGGUAAAGCAUAAGACAAAGAGUUAGGAGGACCUGAGUUCUAGGGCUUGGAACAAAUUUACUUGUUCCACAUCCAGGCACAGGUCAAUUUAACUGACUAAGCCUUAGUAUCUACAGGUUCAGACUCAAUUCUACUUAGGUUUCCUUCCAAUUUUAUACCUGAUCUCUAAGUGACAGAAAGGAAAUGAAAAGGCCUUGCUGUGAUAGGAGAGAGACUCUAAUAGCUGCCAAAGGCUUCUGGGAAAUGGAGACAGGGAGAAGGAACAGAACUGCUCCCACUCUGUAUAAAGUAAAGGUGGAGAAUGAGAGGGGAGGGACAAUAAAGUAUGGGAGGAGUUGGAAGACAAAAUAUUUGGGGUAGGAAACUUUGGGCGGGACACACAAAGAAAUCCAAAAAGUGAAGUAUAAGACUAUUUGGUAAUUGGACAGGGAGAGAAGGUGGGGAGAGGCAGAGAGGAGGGAUUCUAAAGGACUCAGUGGGGGCACAUCUGUGAAUGAAGGGGCCCAUCCUAGGGAUAUUGGGGGCAGCUCAUUGUCCUGAGAGAUAGUGUUCUAUUUGGAGUCAAAUACUCUGAGUUAGGAACUUGCUUCUGAAAAUUACCAACUGGUCUAAUUACUUAACUUUGCUUAGCUUGAAUUUCCACUUCUAAAAAAAAUUGGAGUUGGCCACUAAGGGGCCCUUCCAGGUGGAUAAUCUUAUCAGUGACAAAGAGAUAAGGGCAACCCCUAUGUGGAUAGGUGGGAAGAAAACAGAGUAAGCAGAGAAGAGACCCAGGGAAGGCUGAACAGGGUAUGGAUGGUGAGAGAGAGAAAAUAAGGCUCCUACUGAUUAGAGGAUAGUAAGCAGAGUCAAAAUUGUGAGUUCAAGCUCCUCUUACAAAACUUCAGGCUUUAUGGCCUUUGGCUGUUCCUGGAAACUCUUAGACUCAGUUUCCUCUUUUUUUCCAAAGAAGUCUUUAGAUUUGAUGGCUUCUCAGACCCCUUCCAGUUCUAAGAUUCUAUGCUUUAGCAAGAAAGAAGGAAAAGACUGCUUGAUAUAGGGAUAGAGGCAGAGAUUGUGAUUGAAGGAAAAGGUUUGUGAGGAAGGGAGAGAAGCGCAGGGGAUGGAAUAACAUGGACAAAAGGAAAGGAUAGUCAGAGGAAGGGGCCAAAUAAGGAUGUGGGGACAUAGAGUGUAUGCUAAUCGAGCAAAGAGAGACAGAGGUAGAGACAGACACUUGUAGACAGAGAGAGAGACGACUACUUGGUAAUAGGGAGCUUGAGAGAGAAAAUACCACAAUACUAGAGUAGGAGGGGCUGAAGUCCAGGACCCUGGGGAGAGUAGAAGAAGCAGGGCUCAAAAGAGUAUACCUGGAAAAGGGCUAGAGGAGACAGCUGGUCAUUAAUGAUGGAGAAAGUAAUGCCCUUGAAUCCAGAUCUUACCUCAGAUCUUUUAAAGCUGAAAUAGCCUUGGCAAGGCUUUGAAGGCCUCUCAGCCUCAGAUUCAUCCACUGUAAAAGGUUGGGUAAUUGAAUUUGAUGGCCUCUAAGAUUCUUUCCAGCUUUCAAAUCCCAUGAAUGUUGGUAAGCUGAAGGUAAGACAUCAGAAGAGAGAGAUAGAAAACUUGUGAGGAAGAGAGAGAUUCACAGAGAAUGGAGAGAGAGGAAGAGAAAAAGCUGUAGAGGGAGAGGGGGAAGUUAUUAUCAUAACUUGAUAAUGUAGAUGACAGAGAGGGAAAGUGCUCUUAUAGAAUUGCUAACAGAAGUUUUGAACCACAAGAGAGAAAAGUAGACAGAGAGAUCCAAAGGGAAGAAAAGGAUUAGGGAAGGGAAAAGGAAAGAAACAAGUAUUUGUUAAGUGGCUAUCACGUGUCAGACUUGGUGCUAAGCUCUUAACAAAUAUUAUCUCAUUUGGUGUCCACAACAGUGCUCUGCAGCAGGUGUGAUCAUUAUUGUCAUUUUCCGUUUAGAAAACUGAGACACACAGCGUUUGUAACUUACCCAGAGUCCCACAGUUAGUAAAUGUCUGAGGCUUGAUUUGAACUCGGGUCUUAGUGAGUCUAGGCCCAGAACUUUGUCUACUGCACUAGCAGCAUCUGGGGAGCCAAGAUGACUUGUUUUCAAAUCUGACUCCACACAUGUAAUCUCUACAUGACUCUGGGCAAAAGACUUUAAUUCUUUCAGUCUCCAUUUCCUUCUCUCUAAAAUGAGGAGAUUAUACUCAGAGGCCUGGAAGGACAAAUCCAAGACCAUAGAAUUGAAGAAGAAAAGAAAAAUCAUCACUUGCUAUUUGGAGAAUGGGAGGGAGAGAGUGAAACAGAGGCAAGAAUCCUGAGAGGAGCAAAGAGAGAAAGAGGGAAUGAACUGGGGUGGAAAGAGGAGAGGGAGAAAGUCAAAGGGAAGGAAAGCCAGUGGAUUGAAGGAAGAGAGAGAGAACAAAGGAUAGAAAAAGACCGAGAAGUCAGAGAGAUGGGAGAAGGGAGACAGAGACAGAAAGAGAUGGAGAGAUACAGAAAUAAAAACAGGAAGAAAAAUAAGGGACAAACAAUGUUCUUUCAAUGGAAAGAAGAGGAAAAAUGAAAAACCACUGUGGAGGGAGAGAAAGAGAUAUCUGCUACCAGAAGAUAGAUGAGAAUGAGAGAAACAUAGGAAAAUGUCACCUGGAGAUGGGCCAUACUGGGGAAGCUAACUAGUUGUCAUAUAGGAUAGAACUCUGUACUAGAAUGUAGAUUUAUAUAAGUUUGAAUCUUGGCUGAGAUAAGUUCUUUGUGUCUGGGCAAUGAAGUAACCUGUCAAGCUCAGUUGCCUCCACUGAAAAAAAGUGAUUCUAUUCCAUAGGCACUAAUUAUCUUCCAGUUAUAAAUCUAUGAUCUUAUGAGUGAAGGAUGGAAAUAGAGAAAAAAACUGAGACUAUUGGGGAAAAGGGAGUAAAGAGUAAGGGAGCAGUUUUCUAGGUCCUUGGGGAAGAACAACAAGAAAAAACAACCAUGAGAUAUGAAACUAGGGCAGUUAGGCUCAGGGAAAGAAAACAAGAAUGUUGAGAGAAGAAAGAGGAAGAGAGAAAAGGAAAGGGGCCAUUUUGGAUGAGAGAAGAGGGGAUAGAAGAGGGAUAAAGAAGAAAAAAAGCACUUUAUUAAGGAGAGAAAAGCAGAGAAGAAGUUAUUGGAAAAGAUAAAUGGGUAGCCAGAAUACAAAAGGAACAUAGAAGAUGGUGCACUAAAAAAACAAAGAAAAAAGAAGGCAAAGAGAAUGAAAAAGGAGGAAUAGGGUUGGGAAGAGAGGAGCGAAGAGAGGAACAGAUCAUUGAUUAGGGAAAAGAGGCAGAAAGAAGGAACGAAGGGACUGGUGGAAAUAGGAUGUGUGGAAAGAAAAAGGGAAAGCACCACUGCUUAGGAAGAAGACAGAGAAAGAAAGAGGGAAGGGAUCAUUCAAAAAGGAGGAGAGGGGAGAAUAAAAGGAAGAGACCAUGGAGGAUGGUUAUGAGAGAGGAAGGGAAAUACCAUUAGGGAGUGGAAAGAAGGUGAGAGCAAAAGGAAAGGCACCCCACGGGAUAUGGGCAGAAUGACAUGAGGAAAAGAAAAAUGGGAUUGAGAAAAUGGAGAAAAGAUAGGAAGAGAACACUGUGAAAAUCUAGGGGAAAUACAGAGAAGAAAGGAGAGCACAUUUGUGGGAGGACAGUCAAUAACUAAAGAGCAGAGAAAGAAAGCACUAUGUAAGGGGUAUGUGUGCUGGGGACAGACCUUGCCCCUGUGCAGUGACACAGGAGAGAAGAACAGGAGGGAUAAAGCAGCAGGGCCCGAGGAUGCUCAGGAGGUAGCAAGGGCUCACAGUGGAUCAGACUAUCAGGGAAAGGGAUGGGAAUUCCAAAUCCAAGCCUGACACUCACAGUCUGGUGAUGGAAGUGCCCAAGUGGAGGGAGGAAAGGGAGAAAACAAGUAUGAGACCAUGGUGGAGGGGGGUGGGGUCUAAGAGGCAGAGAGAAACAGAACCUGUUUCUUUUGUUCUAAAAUGAUGGUCUAAACUCACAAACCUUGAAGGUCCUUUUCAGUUUUAAAUUUUAUGAUUUUAUGAGAAGGAAGAGGAAAGCCCCAAGGAAUGAAGGGAAAUACAGUUAGCAAGAAAACUCCAUUAAAGAGACAGAGGAAAAGACAGAGACAGACUGAUGGAGAGAGACAGAGACACAGGGAAGGGACCACUGAGAAUUCAGAUAGUGAUGGCCACGGGUGAGGUAGCUGAUCCUCCUACAGGUAAAGCAUGGGGCUUGUAGUCAGGGGGCCCCGAGUUGUGGUGCUAGGAACAAACCUACUUGCUCCCUGUUCAGGAGCAAUGUCAAUUUAACUGACUAAGCCUCAGGUUUUUCAGUUAGUCUCAAUUCCCUAUCAGAAGUUCUGAUCUCUAAGUGACAGAAAGAGAAAGAAAAGGCUAAAUGGCUUUUCUGUGGUGGCAGAAAUACUAACAAAGCUGCCAAGUAGAGAAGGGGCAGGACUGGCCCCACUGUGUACUAAGGAAAGGUGCAGAAUGAAAGGGGAUGAGCAACAGGGAAUGAGAGGAGGAAGAAGGAAGGCAGAGCAUCUAGGAUGGGAAAGUUUGGGGGAGUGACACAGAGAGGUUCAAAGAGAGAGAGAAAAGACUAGUAAUUUGACAGGGAGAGAAGGAAGAUGGCACUGGGAAAGGUGGGGAGAGGCAAAGAGGAGGGAGCUAAAGGACCCAGUGGGAGCACAUUUAAGGGUGAAGGGGAUGGGCUGAGGGCAACUUACUGGUAAUACAGAAUGUUGUACUUGGAGUCAAAUAACCCUGACUGAGCAAAUUCCUUUUGAGAAUUACCAGCUGGACAAAUCUCUUAACUUUUCUCAGCUUUAAUUUCCUCCUCUAAAAAUAACAUGGAGUUGGAGCUGGCCCCAAAGGGUCCCUUCCACUUGGAUGAUCCUAUCAGAGAAGAAGAGAGAAGGGAAAGCCAUAUAGGAAUAGAUUGCAGGAAAGAGAGGAAGCGGAGAGACCCAGGAAAGGUCCCACUCUGCAUGGAUGGUGGGAAAGAGACACAACAUGUCUCCUACCAACCAGAGUAUCAUAAGGAGAGUCAAAAUGAUAUGAGUUGAAACUACUCUUGCCAACCGGCUGGCUUUCUGGCCCUCGGCACAUCACUUUACCUUUCAGACUCAGUUUCCUCUUCUUUCAGAAGAGACUUUGGGAUUUGAUGGGCUCUCAGACUCCUUUCCAGCUUUCUAAAUAUCUAUACUUAGAGAGAAAAAGAACUAUAAGACAUUGGGGUAGAGACAGAGAGAUGGAGAUUGAAGGAAAAGGCUUCUGGGAUAGGGAGAGAAAUGAAGGGAAGGGGACCCUAUGGAUAGAGGAAAGAGACAAAGGUAGGGGUCAAAUGAGAAUGUGAGGAGAUAGAGAAGAGGAUAAUCUGAGAGACAGAGAGAGAGAAAGAGAGAGACAGAGAGAGAGAGACAGAGACAGAGACAGUUAAAGAGAGUUACUUGGAAAGAGAGACAUAUGGAGACCAAAGACUUAAAGAGAGAAAAGACUUUUAACAGGGGGAGAGCUGAAGACUAGAUGACUUGAGUUCAAAUUCUACACACCAAAUUCUCUAUAACUCUGUACAAAUCACUUCUACGCUCUCUUUCCAUUUCCUUUUCUCUAAAAUGAUGAGAUUAUCCUUAGGAACCUCUGAGAACAUGUCCGAGACCAUAUUGGUGAUUCUGGGAUUGAAGGAGAAAGAAGAAAAAUACCACUUGGAGCUGGAAUAUAGAGACAGUGAAAUAGACACAAAAUCCUUGUGGAAGAGACAGAACUAGUAUGGAAAAAAGGGAAGAAGUCAAAGGAAGGGAUACUAGAGGAUUGAAGGGGGAGAGAGGCCUACAGAGAAAGACAGAAAGGAAGUCAGAGAGACAAGAGAAAGGGAGACAGAGACAAAAAGAGAGAAAGGAGGAAUAGUCUUCUUUAAAUGGAAAGAAGAGGGAGAAUGAAGAGAAACCACUGUGGUAGAGCAGAGAUAUAAGAACAGAUGAAAGAGAUGAAAUGGAGAAACACUUAGGGAAAAGUCAUCUGGCGAUGGGUCAUACUGUGGAAGCCAAGUAGAUUUUUAGAUCAACUUUGAAUCUUGACUCAGUCAUUUUCUUUGUGAGUAUGGUCAGUGACUUAACCUCUCUGACUCAGUUUCCUAAAAUGAAAAAAAGUUGCAUUUCUUACCCACUAAUUACUGUCCAGCUAUAAAUUUGUGAUGCCAUGUGUGAGGGAAAGAGAUAGAGAAAAGUAAAAGAACAUGAUUUA